rnacentral:rRNA from 1 species
UAGAGGAAGUAAAAGUCGUAACAAGGUUUCCGUAGGUAAGUUAUAUCGAAUACGUUUCUGCUGUUUCCGUAACCAUGGCUAAUAUCUAUUAUAGGUGAACCUGCGGAAGGAUCAUUA